rnacentral:rRNA from 1 species
UACACACCGCCCGUCACACCAUGGGAGUGGGUUGUACCAGAAGUGGGUAGCUUAACCGCAAGGGGGCGCUCACCACGGUAUGAUUCAUGACUGGGGUG